rnacentral:rRNA from 1 species
CCUACGGGUGGCUGCAGUGGGGAAUAUUGGACAAUGGGCGAAAGCCUGAUCCAGCCAUGCCGCGUGUGUGAAGAAGGCCUUCGGGUUGUAAAGCACUUUCAGUGGGGAAGAAAGCCUUGGGGCUAAUACCCUCGAGGAAGGACAUCACCCACAGAAGAAGCACCGGCUAACUCCGUGCCAGCAGCCGCGGUAAUACGGAGGGUGCGAGCGUUAAUCGGAAUUACUGGGCGUAAAGCGCGCGUAGGCGGUCUGAUAAGCCGGUUGUGAAAGCCCCGGGCUCAACCUGGGAACGGCAUCCGGAACUGUCAGGCUAGAGUGUAGGAGAGGAAGGUAGAAUUCCCGGUGUAGCGGUGAAAUGCGUAGAGAUCGGGAGGAAUACCAGUGGCGAAGGCGGCCUUCUGGACUGACACUGACGCUGAGGUGCGAAAGCGUGGGUAGCAAACAGGAUUAGAUACCCCGGUAGUC